rnacentral:rRNA from 1 species
GGGUGAUAGCCCCGUACACGAAAACAACCUUGAUGUGAAAUCGAGUAGGGCGGGACACGUGACAUCCUGUCUGAAUAUGGGGGGACCAUCCUCCAAGGCUAAAUACUCCUGACUGACCGAUAGUGAACCAGUACCGUGAGGGAAAGGCGAAAAGAACCCCUGUGAGGGGAGUGAAAUAGAACCUGAAACCGUGUACGUACAAGCAGUGGGAGCCCUUCGGGGUGACUGCGUACCUUUUGUAUAAUGGGUCAGCGACUUACAUUUUGUAGCGAGGUUAACCGUAUAGGGGAGCCGUAGGGAAACCGAGUCUUAACUGGGCGUCUAGUUGCAAGGUGUAGACCCGAAACCGGGUGAUCUAGCCAUGGGCAGGUUGAAGGUUGAGUAACAUCAACUGGAGGACCGAACCCACUAACGUUGCAAAGUUAGGGGAUGACCUGUGGCUGGGGGUGAAAGGCCAAUCAAACUCGGAGAUAGCUGGUUCUCCCCGAAAGCUAUUUAGGUAGCGCCUCGGACGAAUACUACUGGGGGUAGAGCACUGUUUGGGCUAGGGGGUCAUCCCGACUUACCAACCCCAUGCAAACUCCGAAUACCAGUAAGUAAUAUCCGGGAGACACACGGCGGGUGCUAACGUCCGUCGUGAAGAGGGAAACAACCCAGACCGCCGGCUAAGGUCCCAAAGUUCUGGUUAAGUGGGAAACGAUGUGGGAAGGCUCAGACAGCUAGGAUGUUGGCUUAGAAGCAGCCAUCAUUUAAAGAAAGCGUAAUAGCUCACUAGUCGAGUCGGCCUGCGCGGAAGAUGUAACGGGGCUCAAACCAG